CUGAUUUAACCUAACAGGAGAGGACAGACUGACAUUAGACGCGAUGAAGAAUCUACCUGAGCUGCAGAGCAAUACCUACACAUCCCACGAAACAGUCUCACUGACACGGAGAUGAAAUCUGUCUCGUGCUCGUGUGCUGAGGCCCUGCAGCUGGGAGGAGAUCUGCUUCGUUUAGCAUAAAAGGUGGAGGCAGCAGGUAAAACAGCUGGAUGACGGAGUGGAAGAACUGAAGCUGAAGUGGUCGCAGCAGAACAAGAGGCAGUCAUCAUCACCGAAUCCAGCCCUCAGACAACGAGUCCCAGGAACCGACAUGAUCCAUGUCUGCUGGCCAAAACUUAAGCAAGAGGAUGACCACGAAGGAACCUCACGAGAGUAAAACACAUCAAACUACCAGCCAAUAACCAGCUGAUAACAUGACCUUUAUAACAGGAUUGGCCAAACCAAACGUGAUCUCAGGUCCUCCUGAAUUUAUGGUCUCAGCUGCUGUUUCAAGUCUUAGUGAAUACAAAAUGAUGUUUACUUUGAAAGUUGUCACCAAGGAGCAGGAGGCAGACGGUAGACUCUGGUUACAGCCCCUGAUGGACCCUCUGGAACCUCUUUGGACUUCACGUCCACACCUGUUCCAGGUGUUUUCAAUCUUCUGGUGCCGCUGAUUCGACAGGUGGAAACGGAGGCUGCGGCUCAUCGUUGCCUUCGUUACCUGCUGAAGAUCGAGCUCUGUCCAGAUGUUGUGUUAGCACCUUAACACAGUUUCUUUGUGCUCUGGACGCAGAUUGAACUUUUCCUUUUGUGCAAUAAAAAUAAAAGUCCAAAUAUCCACUCCUCAAAAGCUGAACAUUGCUGCACCAUUGUCCUCCUCCCUGCACACAAACUGAACCAGCUGACCGUAGCACAAGUGCACAGGCAGAAGCCUGAUGGUUUUCCUUUUCUAUCCUCCAGCAUGCAGAUAACUGAAGAGCCUUUAAUGCAAAUAACGGCAUGAUUGUAAAUGUAAUGUGAUUACUAAGUGCAGUAAAAAGGUAAUGGGAUUACAGUAACACUGCUACUCAGUGACUGCCUGGGGGUUUCCACAGUAUGUGUGGCUUCAGUUGGAUCACUUUCCAGCAGGUGUGUUACAGCAGACUGAGGAUGCUGCACCAGCUCCACACCCACCCCAGCGAAGCUCCCUGUGCCAUUGAUUUUCCAGCGUUUUUCAGGGGAAGAACAGUCUAGACGGCCCACUGCCCACUAACUGAUCCCACUGGGCCGAGAGAGAAACCUCAAAGACUCCACAGAGACAGCGAGACCGAGAACCUGAGACUAACCACACUUUGUUACAGGAACUCUCACAACAGAGGCGACACACACACACACACACACACACACACAUUGUGCAUUUGCCAACGUGGAAGUGUCCAGAGCGCUUACAAAGAGCCAAUCAGGAGCUACAACCUGCAUAGCGGAAGCACAACCAAAAACAGGUGAACCUCGGGCGACUGACGAAGGUUCACGAUCAGCUCUCAGGUAGCGUUAUUUCCACCAGUAACCAGCACAGGGUGAACGCUCCAUUACUGAACACCUCAUGACACAGUCUGCAUGUUGUGUCCAAGAAGUGAUCGAGUGUAAAUGAAGUCUGAACGUGCUGCUCAAUCAGAGUAACACACACACACACACACACACACACACACACAGGAGGAGCUUCAUCUUUUCCAUUAUCUGAAGAAUAUGAACCCAGCCACUUGAAACAUACUUCUGUUAUGAGCUUCCAACAGUGUGUGACCUUCUUCUUUAAACUGCGUGCAUGUUAAGUGUGUGCAGGCUGUGCGAUGUGUGAAUGCAUUUCUGCGGUUUGGAGGCCACUCGUCCUGCCUGCAGCUGGUGUCUCUGCAGAGAUGAAUGGACACAGACAAUAUAAGCAGAUUACAGGCCCGCUGCCUAUCAGCAGAGGAGGGAGGUUUUCUCCUACAGAGGACUUUAUUCAACCCAAGAACAUGCUUUUCAUUUUCCACAAUUCCUGAGAAACUCAUGCAAUCAUCUGUCACAUGUCCAAUUAAAUUCAGUUUGUUCAGGCUCACAUGUGAGAACUGGCAUCAUCACAGUGUUUCUAAAGCAGCAGUGUGCACUCAUUCUGAAUUUACGGCUAUAUCAACAAUAUUGCUUCGACAAUAAUUGAGCUCUCUCUGCACAGACGGCGUUAAGCUAAAAAAGUAAAGACAUUAUAGUUCACAUGGCAGGAUGUCCCAGAGCCCAGACAGCAUUCUGCCGUCACAGUACUUCAUUGCUGCUUUCUAUCAAUCACUCAGUCUCGCCUUUUUGUUUUCUCUGGCAAAUAAAAUGACGUGAUGAAGUUUACUUUCACUUUGUGCCGGAUCUUUUUCCUUGCAGUAAUCUGUAACAGCU